rnacentral:rRNA from 1 species
UACAGAGGGGGCAAGCGUUGUUCGGAAUUACUGGGCGUAAAGCGUGCGCAGGCGGUCUGUUAAGACAGAUGUGAAAUCCCCGGGCUUAACCUGGGAACUGCAUUUGUGACUGGCAGGCUAGAGUAUGGCAGAGGGGGGUAGAAUUCCACGUGUAGCAGUGAAAUGCGUAGAGAUGUGGAGGAAUACCGAUGGCGAAGGCAGCCCCCUGGGCCAAUACUGACGCUCAUGCACGAAAGCGUGGGGAGCAAACAGG